GUACAAUCAAUAUACAUUAAUCGGUGUAUGAUAACUCUUCGUCCGAAUGUGGCAGAAAAAAUUUAAUUAUUGGUUUUGAUAAUGAAAAGUGCACAGAAUUCCAGUAGAAGAUCCACAUUAAUGUAAGAGUUUGUCGUAAUAAUUUUAUAGUCUACAGCAGCACGUAGCGAGACCAAUUUACCUGGCACGACUAUUAUAACGAAUGAACACAUAUGAAUAAUAAAGUGGAACCAUGACAUAUAUCCGUGUCCGAACGGUUGUAACAUAGGUUGACUUCAAAACAUUUAAGUGUUUAUAAAUCGGUUUUGGAAUAAAAAAAAAGUUUCAAAUUCAAUCAUAAAACAGCGUGAGACAUUCAAAUCAAACCUGACCGGAUACCUGGGUAACUCAAAAUAUUCGUACAAAUGUAUA